AGUCAAUAGAUACCCGGGUAGUCCACGCCGUAAACGAUGAAUACUAGGUGUAGGAGGUAUCGACUCCUUCUGUGCCGCAGUUAAACACAAUAAGUAUUCCGCCUGGGGAGUACGGUCGCAAGAAUUAAAACUACAAAGGAAUUGGACGGGGGCCCGGCACAAGCAGCGGAGCAUGUGGUUUAAUUCGAAGCAACGCGAAGAACCUUACCUAGACUUGACAUCUUCUGCAUUAAUCGUAAUGGAUGAAAUCCCUUCGGGGUACGAGAAUGACAGGUGGUGCAUGGUUGUCGUCAGCUCGUGUCGUGAGAUGUUGGGUUAAGUCCCGCAACGAGCGCAACCCCUAUCAUUAGUUGCUAACAUUAAGUUGAGCACUCUAGUGAGACUGCCCGGGUU
rnacentral:rRNA from 1 species